rnacentral:rRNA from 1 species
GUACCUACGGGGCGCAGCAGUGAGGAAUAUUGGUCAAUGGGCGAGAGCCUGAACCAGCCAAGUCGCGUGAGGGAAGACGGUCCUAUGGAUUGUAAACCUCUUUUGCCGGGGAGCAAAAAGCGGUACGUGUACCGCAUCGAGAGUACCCGGAGAAAAAGCAUCGGCUAACUCCGUGCCAGCAGCCGCGGUAAUACGUAGGGGGCAAGCGUUAUCCGGAUUUACUGGGUGUAAAGGGAGCGUAGACGGCCAGACAAGUCUGAAGUGAAAAUCCAGCGCUUAACGUUGGAAGUGCUUUGGAAACUGCC